rnacentral:rRNA from 1 species
UACGUAGGGGCCUAGCGUUGUCCGGAUUUAUUGGGCGUAAAGAGCUCGUAGGCGGUUCGGCAAGUCGGAUGUGAAAUCUCCACGCUCAACGUGGAGGGGCCAUUCGAAACUGCUGUGACUUGAGUCCGGUAGGGGGGUGUGGAAUUCCCGGUGUAGCGGUGAAAUGCGCAGAUAUCAGGAGGAACACCGAUGGCGAAGGCAGGUCUCUGGGCCAUAACUGACGCUGAGAAGCGAAAGCAUGGGGAGCGAACAGG